CUAAAUUAUAUCCAAUAUGUUUGAGUUAGAAUAAAUAUUUUCCGAAUCAGUCUAUAAGUGUAUAAUUGGUUUGAGAGUGAUCCCAUCAUCAACAUCCACCAUUUCAAGAGGUUAUGGGCCCAGGACGCUUCCACAUCCACCAUUUUAAGAGGUUUUGGACCCAGCAAUGCUGAUAUUUAUAUUUUUUGGAGCAUUUUUCCUGUUUGGAGAGCAAGAAUUACAGUUGCAAACAAAUAUGUCAAGAUGGAGGAAGAGUGACAGUUGCAAACAAAUUUGUCAAAGAUCCAUCUACCAUUUAUUGACGGUGUUGAAAAUGAUGAAUGCAGAGGCGGAUGAAGUGAUUUUUGAAGAAACGGUUCAAGAAGUGAAGAAGAGGUGACCAUCGACGGUGUUG